rnacentral:lncRNA from 1 species
UGCGGUGCCGACAUUCUACAACAUGCCUCAUCACAUGCAGGCUGAUAUUGCCCGCCCGGCACCGACCGCGGCACCGACCCCCGUGGUGCAGUCUGACAGGGAGGUUACAGGCAAAACCCCCGAUCGGAGGAAUGCUCCUGUACGGCAGCCUCUCCCGGCUCAGUUUCCACCUCACGCAGGAGCCUCACUACCUCACUUUACUCAGACAGCAGAUCUCCUGGUAUCACCUAUCCUGCAGUCUCCCCUGAUGAAUGCAUAUUCUUCUCCAAUGCCUGAGUCAGGAUCUGAGCAGCUUUCCUCCAGUGAGGAGGAAACAGAUCCACAGGGAGUUUUUUCUCCAUAUCAAGACUCCCAACCCCAGACCCCAGGCAAUAGAGGUUAUGAGAAAACUACCUCAUCCUACUCUCAGGACCCUGCCUCCUGGGGGGUGAACUCCUGGAUGGCACCACUUAUGCCCUACCCACCACCAUGGCAAUACUGGACACCAUGGGCAUCGUACCCUCGGGAAUACGUGCGCCAUGGCCACUCGACCAGGCGCAACACCGAUCCAGCGUCGCCCCCUGACGAAUAUGCCAGUGACACGAGACACCUGGUAACACAGUCACACUUCCAGGAUAAACCUAGCCCUGCUCCUAUUCCAGCAGAGCCGGAGCUAGCACCUGAAGAAGCAUUACUUCCCCUUCCCCCAACACCGUCGGAUGACUAUGCAAAAUUCCAGGACCUCUUUAAAAGAGUUGCCAGUGACUUGAGAAUUAACUUGGAGGUAGUCACUGAACAACAACAUGAGCUAACGAACAUCCUACAGCCCCCUUCUUCCUCCAGGGUGGCAUUACCAAUUAACGCAGCCCUUUUAGAAUCCGCUAAGUCCAUCUGGCAGACUCCAGCGACAAGCCUACCUACCUGCAAACAAGCAGACAGGAAGUACUUUAUUUCUCCAAAAGACUCUGAAUUCCUUUUUACCCACCCGGCACCAAAUUCAUUGGUAGUAGACGCUGCGAACCAGAGGGCUAGACAACAGUAUUCUCGUUCCACCCCACCCAACAAGGACAGCAAACGAUUGGAUCUUUUUGGUCGCAAAGUAUACGCAUCCUCGACCCUACAAUUUUGUAUAGCUAAUUAUACUGCAGUCCUGGCAAAAUACAACCACAAAAACUAUAAUAAAUUAAUGGACUUUAUUGAUGACAUUCCAGAACAGAGAAAACAACAGUUCAGAGCUAUGGUUUCCGAGGGACAAGCCAUAUCACGCACCGCUCUCCAAGCAGCCCUCGAUGUAGCCAACACAGCAGCAAGAUCGACCGCUACAGCAGUAGUCAUGCGACGGGGCUCAUGGCUCUCCUCCUCUUUUUUUCCUCGAGAAGUUCAGAGCACCACUGAAGAUCUUCCCUUCGACGGUGACAAACUUUUUGCUUCUACCACGAAUGACGUGCUUCAUUCAAUGAAGGACUCAAGGACAACCCUCCGGUCUCUAGGUCUCCAGACACCUACGACCAGAAGACGGCAAUAUAGAUACCAACCGUACCACCGGCCACGUUAUCCCGCAUUCACACAACACUCCCAUAGACCGCAGGAACAACAACAACAACAACAACGUCAAAGACCAAGAUUCCAGCGACGUCGUCCAAAUUCUGCAGGGGCACCUCAACCCCCGCCAACUAAUAGGCAGAUUUGAAGCCUUGGUCGAGGGUUUAGAAAGCAACGCCCCCACUUCAGCCGACACACCUAUCUUUGGACACCGCCUACGACCUUUCUCCCAUCAAUGGAAGAACAUUACCUCCGACAAGUGGGUCUUAGAGGUAGUUACAAUUGGAUACGUCAUCCCCUUCCUCUCCUUGCCUCCCACCCACCCACCCUCCCUGUCCCUCUUCAGGGACCCUUCUCACGAGCAGCUACUCCUCCAAGAAGUGCAACAUCUCCUUCAUCUGGGAGCAGUAGAAAUCGUGCCAGAACGACACAGAGGGAAGGGUUUUUACUCCCAUUAUUUCUUAACAGAAAAGAAAAAUGGGGGAUGGCGACCAAUCCUCGACCUCAGGCGGCUCAACAAAUUUGUCAAAAAGCAAAAGUUCAAGAUGGUUACCCUCACUACCAUAAUCCCAGCGCUGGAGCAGGGCGACUGGUUUUCUGCCCUCGACCUACAAGAUGCCUAUUUCCAUGUCACUAUACAUCCGGCCCACAGAGGCUUUCUUCGAUUUACCCUCGGUUCGACACAUUUCCAAUACAGGGUACUCCCCUUCGGACUGUCCACUGCCCCCCGUGUCUUUUCCAAGCUCCUAGCUGUAGUCACUGCCUACCUCAGGAAACAAGGGGUCAUAGUAUUCCCUUACCUCGACGAUUGCCUCCUCAAAGCUUCAACAUUCGACGAGGCUCUCCGGUUCACACGGCUCACAGUCGAUUGUUUCCUAUCUCUCGGCCUACAAAUAAACAAAGACAAAUCCACA